ACCAACCAUAAUAUUACACUGUAUUUAGAACAGGCUUAUGUAAAAUGCCCUCAUUUAUCUAAAUAAGUUGAUUUUUUGGUUAUUGUAAUCUAGUAAGGUUUUUGCAUCACUACUGGUCUGUCAUGAAGUUUUUCUGCUGGCUUAUUCACUUAUUUAGACUUCAUUUAGGGAAGCUAUUUCAGAAUACCAUCUCAUAAAAUGUAUCAUUAUCUUGUUUUUGCAAAAUUCACUUACUUUUUGGGCACAUUUACCCAGCAUUUCAAAUAAGUGUAUAGGCAUGUGCCUUGUUUAAGUACAAUUUAUAAGACUUCAUGUUUGCAAGUUACAUAUUAGGGUAGUGAUUGUUUAUAUUACCAGGGAUUCUACACUUUACCAAAAAAAAUUGCCAUAAGAUUUUCCUGUUCCAUUUUAAAUUGUCUUGAUAUUUAAAAAAAUAACUUCUACAUUCUCAGGAAGAAAUACAUGAAGUAAAUCAUAUCUCCAUGUCUGUUUCCAGAUUUCUCUAAUCUUUUUACUAUCCCAAUACAUUCCUAAUUCCUAUAAACGUAGUGGCUUAAAUACUGAAUACCUGGCAGCUCUUAAAGAUCCCUUAGGCAGAUGAUGAUAAUUUUCAGUGUUUCGUCAUGUUUAAUAGAAAUCAAACUGACUUGUGUUUUAAAAUACAAGUUGUCUGCUAGUAAAGUUACAUGAUUUAGGUGUGUUUUAGGUUUUCUGCAACAAUUAGCUGUGAACCCCUAAUGUAGCUAAGUUUAUACAAAUUUUAUAAUCAAAAUUAUUUAUUUUUAUUUUUUUAGAGUAUGUCAAAAACAUAUAGUGUUUGCUUUGUGAAAUACAUUUGCUUAGAGUUAUAAAAUAUACUGUGACUCAGAAAUUGUAAAGUCAGUUUGCGUUGUAAAAAUGAAUACUACCAGCAUGUCAAAAGAAAAAUAAUUUACAUUUGUAAUAUAAAGUAAAAUUGUAUUUAAUAU
rnacentral:lncRNA from 1 species